CCUACGGGGGGCUGCAGUGAGGAAUAUUGGUCAAUGGACGAGAGUCUGAACCAGCCAAGUAGCGUGAAGGAUGACUGCCCUAUGGGUUGUAAACUUCUUUUAUAAGGGAAUAAAACGAGGCACGUGUGCCUUUUUGCAUGUACUUUAUGAAUAAGGAUCGGCUAACUCCGUGCCAGCAGCCGCGGUAAUACGGAGGAGCCGAGCGUUAUCCGGAUUUAUUGGGUUUAAAGGGAGCGUAGAUGGGUUGUUAAGUCAGUUGUGAAAGUUUGCGGCUCAACCGUAAAAUUGCAAUUGAUACUGGAAGUCUUGAGUACAGUUGAGGUAGGCGGAAUUCGUGGUGUAGCGGUGAAAUGCUUAGAUAUCACGAAGAACCCCGAUUGCGAAGGCAGCUUACUAAGCUGUGACUGACAUUGAUGCUCGAAAGUGUGGGUAUCAAACAGGAUUAGAUACCCCUGUAGUC
rnacentral:rRNA from 1 species